AACGGACGCUGGCGGCAUGCCUAACACAUGCAAGUCGAACGAGACCUUCGGGUCUAGUGGCGCACGGGUGCGUAACGCGUGGGAACCUGCCCUUAGGUUCGGAAUAACUCCCCGAAAGGGGUGCUAAUACCGGAUAAUGUCUUCGGACCAAAGAUUUAUCGCCUUUGGAUGGGCCCGCGUUGGAUUAGCUAGUUGGUAGGGUAAAAGCCUACCAAGGCGACGAUCCAUAGCUGGUCUGAGAGGAUGAUCAGCCACACUGGGACUGAGACGCGGCCCAGACUCCUACGGGAGGCAGCAGUGGGGAAUAUUGGACAAUGGGCGAAAGCCUGAUCCAGCAAUGCCGCGUGAGUGAUGAAGGCCUUAGGGUUGUAAAGCUCUUUUACCCGGGAUGAUAAUGACAGUACCGGGAGAAUAAGCUCCGGCUAACUCCGUG
rnacentral:rRNA from 1 species